UCAUAAAAAGUUUGAAAAAAAAAUUAUUUUUAUGUGAAUUGUCAAGAGUUUAUUAUUCAAAUAUUUAACGAGUUUGAAAAUUGUAAGACAAAAAAUAUCAACAUGAAAACUUCGGAAAUGUUGUGAAGAGAUACAAAGUAUCUUUGAUGUUAUACUGCAGAAUUUCCUGGGAAAACAUUUUUCACAAAUUCCAUCAUAUUUUUGAUAAAAGAAUUAUUGGCGAGUCGUGAAAUGUGAAUGAAAACUUUGAUUUCUAUAACGAAUAAUUUCUAUAAAGAUAAUUUAGGUGGAGACUAUUGAGCGUGUGUAGGUACCUCUCAAUCUGGUUCUAUAUGGUUGGAGCGUGUGGAACUCAUUUGAAUACGAGCAUGUUCCAUCCGGAACAUCGCCAAAAGAUAGCGAUUCCAAAGGCAUCGCGGGUAUUAUAUGGAAGAAAGAAUUCUGGAGACGUUAUAGGACGAUGAUAUUAGUCUCUUGGCCGUGUGGUGGCUAUAAUGUGCACGACACAAAUAAUCUUAGCCACUUGACAUAAUAAUAUCGCAUCCACCAACUCACUUAAUUGGAUCACUUGAAUAAUAGUUUUGGUAUCGCGAGCUAUAGAAGCUGAUGCAUUAUUUAUGUAGUUUCUACUGUUCCUUCUGUUGGGGACGGAAUCCUAUCUCAAAAUACACAGAGUCUAACCAAGCCAUAGGUAUAGUGUUUUUGUGUUCCUUUAUGGAGGAACUCUAACGUUUGGUUCUGCAUCAGAAGUUGGGGCAUUUUAUCUUCAUGACAGUGGUUAUAUCUUCUGUGUUGAAAUUAUGCUUCAUCUAGGAUCUGGAAGUUGGUCUUGAGUCUAUUUCACGGUGGACAUGGGUUUUUUUUAUUGCUUAAAUCUAA